UUGACCUCAAAUCAGGUAGGAUUA
rnacentral:rRNA from 2 species